rnacentral:lncRNA from 1 species
AAGUAUUGUGAUCUUAUGUUUUUUUUAUUCUUUGAUAUGAACAUUCUUUUCUCUCUCCACAGAUUUUUUAACAAUUGCAACAAUCCUGGGAACAGGAAUAUUAGGUCUUCCAGUCACCAUCGCUCGUGCAGGACUGGUACCGUUCCUGGUUUCCUUCCUUACUGGUUUCUUUAUGCAGGCUCUCCUCAUAUACCUGUUUGUGGAUUUGCUGCAGCGAUGCCGAGCUGCGCUGAAGGAAUCAGUAACGAGUGUGGAGACGGAGCGAAUCCUAAUGCAGGACGUCAGCCUGGAGGAGUCCUCUGCACCUGACACUGAGGAGGCGGAGGAAGGAGAGGAGGAGGAGGCGGAGGAUGUGGAGGAGGCAGACGCAGGUCUGCUGCAGAAGGAUGCCGCGGUGCUGAAGCUGCAGGAGGAGCUUCAGCCCAACCUGCACGUCCUGGGAACGCUGUUCCUCAGCAAACGCUGCAGCCGGGCCUUCGACCUCAUCCUGCUCUCUCAGUUUGUGUCUAUCGGGAUCAGCUAUGUUCUGGCGGGGAGUGAAGCCUACGCUGCACUGCUUCAUACCAGUCACAUCUAUGUUAUCCCUGUGUUCACGUGGACACUCUCAUUGGGUAUUCUUCUGGCCCAGGUCAUCAUUCAGCCAAUCACGUCACUUCUGACACUUCUCAAAGGCAUCCUAUUGAUCAUAACGGUGGCGGUGACAUUUGUCGUGGGUUCAGAGGUUCGCCAGGAGACCACGAAUGACUUCACCCAGAUCGGGAAGCCUUUCCUCAUGGGGACUGUAGCUCUGGGUGGGAUCAUCAAUGUGAUGCCUUUCUUAUUUUCUGAAAUCUCCCACAACAAAACGCAGGUAACUCCAGUUAACGGAUGCUAACUCCACAUAGCACUACAGAGUGAAGCGUCCUGCGCUGAAGAAAUCAGCUUUGCUGUUUUUUUUUACAGGUCAUGUGGUUCAGAAGAGCUGUUCUGGGAGGUCUGGCUACGUGUACCGUUCUGAACGUAUUAUGGUGUUGGGCAGUGUUAGAGAUUGUUCCCCAGAUGGCUGUCGAGUCCGUCCUGGAGGAGAGGCCCUUAAAUACCAGCGCGGUCCGGAUAGAGACCACUCCACCGACACACACAUUUAUCUACUCCAACAUCUCCCUGGAGAAGUAAGUGUACACACACACACUCGCACACUCACACACACUCACACUGACUCACACACUCACAGCGAGCGUAUUGUGUGCACACACCUUCCCCAGUCUCCGCUGGUGUAAAGUGGGGCGGA